CCUCAGCUGAACUACAUAGCAGCACUGAUGAUCACUCCCAGUUCUUUCGAAUUUAGGAAACACCACUACAGGUCUUACCAAUCCAAUAAAGGGAAAGGCUUCAAGAAUGCAGAAAUACCUUGGACCAAAAAAGGAGACAAAAAGGAAACCCAUCUGAGUUGUUGGGCAACAAGCUAAUGUUCAACAAAAAUGAACAAGGCUGGCAAGACUACAUUGCACUGUUACAGUAGACUUACUACAAAAAAAAAAUCUUCAUAUAUUUAUUGUCUUUCAUGUCAGGAAAUAGAUACCUGGAGAUCAGAAAUGUGGAUUGGCUUCCGCAGCUAACAGAAAAAAGGUUUUAGAUCUUAAAGUCAGGACACAUACAUUUUUGCAUUGUUUUGAAAUGAUAUACAUUAUAAACGCACAUAAAUACAAAACCCUGUAAAUUUCACACUCAGCUGUGCCAGAAAAAUACCAAUAGUGAAAGAAAAAUGCUAUGGGAUAGUCUACCCUAGAAAACAGAAGAAAACCCCGCUACUUGGGUAUUUAAACAAAGCACUGGAAAAAGUAAAAACAGGAGCCCUGGACCAGAAGUUGGAACAGGAGGAAGAGGCCUGUAUAUCCAGCCUGCUAACUGAAGCUAACCUGAAAAACUUGAGAGGAACAAUACAAGCUGUACCUUCCCCUCUCUUCAAGUUUCCCUUUUGACACUGAACUAGAUUUCAUAUCAUCGCAAGCGUUUUAUCCUUCAGAAGCAACAUGCAUACAACCACCCAAAGCUUUUUAUUGGAGAUCCACAUGUCCAGAGCAGGCGCUGCGCUCCCCUUCGCAACUUCACUAUAGGCUGCAUAAAAGGUCUAAGGGUUAUUUUAAGCGCUGAGCAUCAUAUCGAUAUUUCAAUCGUAUUAGACUCUACUUGCAAAGAAUUCACCUGCGAUCCAAAAGGCCACUUCAAAAAAAAAACAACCCGACUGUGACUACUGCACUGAGGUAUGACGCGCAUCGAGGCAGGACCAAGAGGAUAUGGUUUCAAGAUGCCUGCAACUUAAACAGGUACAAACGUAUGUCGCAUUCCUUACUCAAACCUGAUUGCUGCCAGGAAGCCAGCAAGUGCACUUUUACUGAAGACCCCAUCGUGGCUCGCUGAACUGAGACCCGAGAGUGGCGUUUCACAGAAAUACCUUCCCUUGCUUUCCGAAAGCUUGCGAUUAAUUUUUUUUUUCUUUUUUUGGACAAACAGCUAAUAAACCGAUUCCUUGCAGCUGAAAGGUAAAACCUGGGUGCCUGCUUCAUGCCCUUAUAGUGCUGAUCCUCCUCCUCCUCCUCCUCCCAGCUACCGAGGACCCCGACCCCAAGUCGCCCAAGGAAAGGAAGUUCAGCCCGUCUGCGGAGCCGCCCGCGCGCCCGGCUCCCGAGCGGGGUGGUGGGCAGCCCUUCCCGGCCAGGCUGACAAGGCUCCCGGGACAAAGGACGAGGCGGCGGUACCUGGCGAGGCGGCGGCGGCAGCCCUCCCCGC